ensembl:Y_RNA Y_RNA Y RNA
GGCUGGUCCGAAGGUAGUGAGUUAUCUCAAUUGAUUGUUCACAGUCAGUUACAGAUUGAACUCCUCGUUCUACUCUUUCCCCCCUUCUCACUACUGCACUUGACUAGUCUUUU